rnacentral:rRNA from 1 species
GACGAACGCUGGCGGCGUGCCUAAUACAUGCAAGUAGGACGCACAGUUUAUACCGUAGCUUGCUACACCAUAGACUGUGAGUUGCGAACGGGUGAGUAACGCGUAGGUAACCUACCUAUUAGAGGGGGAUAACUAUUGGAAACGAUAGCUAAUACCGCAUAACAGCAUGUAACACAUGUUAGAUGCUUGAAAGAUGCAAUUGCAUCGCUAGUAGAUGGACCUGCGUUGUAUUAGCUAGUAGGUAGGGUAAAGGCCUACCUAGGCAACGAUACAUAGCCGACCUGAGAGGGUGAUCGGCCACACUGGGACUGAGACACGGCCCAGACUCCUACGGGAGGCAGCAGUAGGGAAUCUUCGGCAAUGGGGGGAACCCUGACCGAGCAACGCCGCGUGAGUGAAGAAGGUUUUCGGAUCGUAAAGCUCUGUUGUUAAGGAAGAACGAGUGUGAGAAUGGAAAGUUCAUGCUGUGACGGACUUAAC